CUUUUUUGAGAGUUUGAUCCUGGCUCAGGAUGAAUGCUGGCGGUGUGCUUUAAGCAUGCAAGUUGAACGGUAAGUUAGUCUUCGGACUAACACGAGUAGCAGACGGGUGAGUACAACACAGGAACUUACCCCCAAGUGGGGAAUAGCCAGUCGAAAGAUUGGGUAAUACCGCAUGUGAUCUCCGGAUCAAAGCCUUCGGGCGCUUGGGGAGAGGCCUGUGCCCUAUCAGGUAGUUGGUGAGGUAAUAGCUCACCAAGCCUAUAACGGGUAGCCGGUGUGAGAGCACGAUCGGCCACAAGGUUACUGAGAUACGGAACCUACACCUACGGGUGGCAGCAACUGGGAAUAUUGCGCAAUGGGCGAAAGCCUGACGCAGCGACACCGCGUGUGGGAAGAAGCUCUUCGGAGUGUAAACCACUGUGGCAGGGGAACAAUUUUUGAGGGUACCCUGCUAGAAAGCACCUGCUAACUACGUGCCAGAAGCCUCGGUAAUACGUAGGGUGCAAGCAUUAUCCGGAUUUAUUGGGCGUAAAGCGUCCGUCGGCGUUUUAUUAAGUUUUAACUUUAAUACUGGAGCUCAACUCCAGAUACAGGUUGAAAUACUGAUAGAAUUGAGUUUACUAGGGGGAGCUGGAAUUCUCGGUGGAGGGGUGAAAUCCGUAGAUAUCGAGAGGAACACCAUUCGCGAAGGCGGGCUCCUGGAGUAUAACUGACGCUCAGGGACGAAAGUCUGGGUAGCAAAAGGGAUUAGAGACCCCUGUAGUCCAGACCGUAAACGAUCCUUGCUAAUUGCUUGAUUCUUCGAAUUGAGUGAUGUAAGCUAACGCGUUAAGCAAGGCGCCUGGGGACUACGACCGCAAGGUUAAAACUCAAAGGAAUUGACGG
rnacentral:rRNA from 1 species